GUUGAUUGAUAAGUUGUAUGCUACGAGAUUCAGGCUGGCAUGUAGUUAUGCCCAGUAAUUUUUCAUGUGACUACAAAGUCGCAGACAAAGUCGUCAUUACUUCUUCGUACGCUUGUUUGAUAAGCUCAGUAGAAAAAGCACAGACAGAGGAGAUAUUGGCCGAAUCGUCCGACGCAGAGCAGCAGAGUACUGGUAGCAUUUCUGAGCGAACCGACAUCCUGCAAUGGAGCCUCUGACACGAGGUAAGAAAAUUUCAAACUUUGGUACCGCUCACCUCGAUUGAGGCAGAGGGGAAGAGCUGAAGCAGCGGUAACAACGAGCAAAGCCGCCAUCCUCCUCA
rnacentral:lncRNA from 1 species